CCUACGGGGGGCAGCAGUGGGGAAUAUUGGACAAUGGGGGGAACCCUGAUCCAGCCAUGCCGCGUGUGUGAAGAAGGCCCUCGGGUUGUAAAGCACUUUCAGUGAGGAAGAACGCCUGGUGGUUAAUACCCAUCAGGAAAGACAUCACUCACAGAAGAAGCACCGGCUAACUCCGUGCCAGCAGCCGCGGUAAUACGGAGGGUGCGAGCGUUAAUCGGAAUUACUGGGCGUAAAGCGCGCGUAGGUGGCUUGAUAAGCCGGUUGUGAAAGCCCCGGGCUCAACCUGGGAACGGCAUCCGGAACUGUCAAGCUAGAGUGCAGGAGAGGAAGGUAGAAUUCCCGGUGUAGCGGUGAAAUGCGUAGAGAUCGGGAGGAAUACCAGUGGCGAAGGCGGCCUUCUGGACUGACACUGACACUGAGGUGCGAAAGCGUGGGUAGCAAACAGGAUUAGAUACCCCGGUAGUU
rnacentral:rRNA from 1 species